rnacentral:lncRNA from 1 species
UGAAGGGGCGCACGGGAGAGAGAGAAGGGGUGAAAGAAUAUGGCUUUGGUGGUGAAAUGGUAUGCGAGGAUAAGGUUCUGUAGAUAAAACUCUAGAGGGGUAAAUAUGGUAACUCCUGGGGUCAACUGGUCAAACCGAUCAGGGGAACCAGUCAGACCAAAUUCCACUAGGAAACCAGAGAAAUGUUGAAUUUGAUAGAUUUUGGUCCCACACUUUCUCAUAAGAUUGGAUAUAAGAUUUGAGAUAGAUGUUGAUCCAAAGUUGACAUGUCUUGGAAGAAUUUUUGAUAAUCCAAAAAAGUUAUCACUUCUUGAUUCUUCCAAGAGAGAUGAGAGAGAUAGAUAAAGAUUUAUGGACUUGAUAAAAUCUCAC